AGCGAACGCUGGCGGCAGGCCUAACACAUGCAAGUCGAACGAACUCUUCGGAGUUAGUGGCGGACGGGUGAGUAACACGUGGGAACGUGCCUUUAGGUUCGGAAUAACUCAGGGAAACUUGUGCUAAUACCGAAUGUGCCCUUCGGGGGAAAGAUUUAUCGCCUUUAGAGCGGCCCGCGUCUGAUUAGCUAGUUGGUGAGGUAAUGGCUCACCAAGGCGACGAUCAGUAGCUGGUCUGAGAGGAUGAUCAGCCACAUUGGGAUUGAGACACGGCCCAAACUCCUACGGGAGGCAGCAGUGGGGAAUCUUGCGCAAUGGGCGAAAGCCUGACGCAGCCAUGCCGCGUGAAUGAUGAAGGUCUUAGGAUUGUAAAAUUCUUUCACCGGGGACGAUAAUGACGGUACCCGGAGAAGAAGCCCCGGCUAACUUCGUGCCAGCAGCCGCAGUAA
rnacentral:rRNA from 1 species